UUAUGAAAUAAAAUUCUUAUUUUGCACAGCCUCCAGCCUCACAUGACUAGCUGCUGACUUGAAACAUAAUGUCAUCUGGAAGUCAUCAGUAAGGGGGCAGGAGGCAGAACAGCUGCCUGUGACAGGAGGGCAGGCCCUCAUCUGCCCCAGGACCUGAUCCAAGCCCAGCCCCAAGAUUUGCUGUGAGGCUCAAAUGAGAGGACGUGUGAGAAGCACCUGAAACCGCCAAGAGUCUGUACAUGUGCAAGGGCCAGGCCUCUCCCUCAAUGGGAAGAGGUGAGAAUAGCAGAGGUACAUGAGACACCAAGAGCACAUCAACACAAGAUCCCGGAGUGUCUCCGAGCUGGGAGCGCAAAACACGACGUCACUAUUGCCCAUUUUAUCCUUCCAGAGCUGGAAGAGGAAGCCAAGCCAGCUGCCUGACCCUAAGAUGUGGUUUCCCACAACCCUACUUGCUUCCUCAGAAAGGACUCUGGAAUUCGCAAGCACCUCCUGGAGGUGUCUGUCAUCAUGGAAAGGCUUCUGGAGAAAUAGGGCUGUGUUCACUGGCCCUGGUGUAUGUGAUCCGGGGAUCCCUUCACACCACUGAGAUAUGGCCUCUACAUAAUAUGGGUUCUUCUUUAGCAGCAGCAGGACUGAAGAAAGGAAAAGGCUCCACAAGCUCCCGGCCCACCCCAACAUGUCGGGGGUGACCUGGGGCCUGCAGGAACAGCCAACCAGGCCAUCUCUGAACAGUUGUUUUCCUCCUCACCUCAGAGCAGUACAGUCUUACACUGCAUAUAAAAUGGAUCCAGCCUAAUGCAACUGCCUUAGAAAUGGUCUCUUUCCAGCUGACAGUCCAGCUAGGCUCUGUAGCUGUCAGGCUGAGGGGGUAAAAAGUGAGACAGAUCCCUGCCUACCUUGAGGUCUGACUAGCAAACCAUGAAGCUGUGAAUGAAGCUCCUCUGAUCCAACUAGAUCGACAGCAAAGCAGCCACCUAUGCUGCGGACAGGGGCUGAGGAUGGCUACACACUUGUGCUCAGAACAGCAUGUGAAGGAUGACUGCUAUGGGAAAGGCAGCUGCGAGACCCAGGCCGAGCACCCUGGGGGUACAUUACAGAGGGGUUGGAGCUUCUCAAAACCUGUUUAUGCCAACCCAGAGGGGCUGGACUUUCAGAUGGUGAGAACUGCUGCUCUCGGAGACGAUGGGCCACAUGGGGGCCCUGAGCCAGGGAACAUGACCAGGGCUGCCACAGUCGCUCAUCCUCACCCUGAACUGGGGUUCUAGCAUCCUGCCUGCCACCCCUUCAAAAGGGGGGGGGGGGAGCUCCAUGUGAAGAAUAACUUCAACCUGCAAUAAGGAAUACUCCCCUCUCUGAAAUUAACUAAAAAGCCUUUAUUUUCUAUAGUUUCCCUCUAAGGCAAAUGGAAACCUAUUUGUGGUGAUUGUGUGCUCUAAAAUCAUCAGGAGCAACUCAUACUAGCUCCUGUUCUCAGUCUGAGUUUGGGCUCUAACUUGCAACUAACAGUCAUUUCAGACAAUGUAAUUAAAUAUAUCUCAUUCUAACAGCUUUUAGAUUCAUGGUUUUAAUAUACUGCCAAUACAUCUGCUGAGUUCCAGAAUGAUGCAUUGUUCUCAAGGUUAGCAAAUGAUAAGAACAAGCUAUUAAAACAUCCGAAAUGCAGUUACUCACCCUUAUCAUCAACACCGCUUUCCUGAUGUCCCGGAUGCCAUCGUACACCAGGCGGGAGGCAUCGAUAAACUCAUUCUCAUCCAUGGGCUGGGCGGGGUCCGAGCUGAGGGCUUCCACGGCCGCUUCUACUUGCUCAGUAAAACGCGGCAUAACUGCAGAGAAAAGAGGCCCAGCAGACAUCAUCAUUCUAUAGCCCUCCCUGAAUCUACCUCACUCAGAAAGAGGCAAGGUGUCUGAUGAAGAGCUUCCACUUCUACCUAUGUGAGAUUUAUGGCUGAAAUAAAUUAAAUGUAUUUCAACCAA